rnacentral:lncRNA from 10 species
UACAGUGUUAUACUUUACAUUUAAAUCUGUGAUUUGUUAUGAGUUAACUUUUCUAUAAUAUGUGAAGUUUAGAUCAAGAUUCUUUUUUUCCCCCUCUGGAUGUCUGAUUGUACCAGAAUUGAUUUUUGUAUGUUGAUCGUGUAUCUUGUAAAUUUGCUGAACUUACUAGUUCUAGGUGCUUUUUGUAGAUUUCCUGUGAUUUUCCUAUACAGACAAUCACAUCAUGUGCAAAUAUGGAUUUCUUUUUUCUUCCUUUAUCUAGGGUUUUUAGUUGUGCUUAAUUGAAGAAAUGGAAAAAUAAUGGCUAAUCCAUAUUUCUAAAACUAGAAUCCUUUCAUCUGAGUUUUAGACUAAAUUCAUCAAAAACCAUAAAUGGCUUUUUAUUGGAAUAUCAAUUACGGCCAAGAAUACAGAGUGUCAGAGCUUCACUUGCAAAAGUGCAGAAAUAUGAGAUAUCCUUGAAGGAUUGUGUCUCAGCACCCAUCCUUGCUAUUUUUGUCUCCUGCAAAUCCACUGAGCUUUGUGAGGGAAGGGCCUGGGUUGGUUUUGUUUGCAUUCUAUACUAAGCACAUAGCUGGUGCACAGUAAAUAUUUGCUGAAUGAAGGUUUUGUCUUCACCCAUUCAAAAUGGAGAUUGUUGAAUGAAUAAAAGUAAAGUAAACUGUUCUAUUUAUCUAAAAUGUAAUUAAAUAUUUGUGUUUUCCUUAUGCUAGGAACAUUUAAAUUAUUAUCUUCUAGCUAUUGAUGUUAAUAUUAACAAGAAUAUCUUUGAAUUUUUUAAACAUUAUAGGAUUAUAUACUUAGCGACUUGUAAGAAAUGAUAGUUGAUGAUGACAAUAAGAAGGAGAUAACAAAAAGAUGAGCUCCGUCAAGUUUUAGUGGCAAUGGCUCCAAUUUAGAGAAAACAAACUGCUCAUUAGGAAUGACUCUAAACUUGGCAAGAGUACAAUUUAAACUCAUCACGCUUUCUUUUUAACAUUAUUCUUAUAUGUGUGAAUUCUUAUUGUUCUAUCUGGAAAUGCCACAGUUCAGUCCCUGUAUUUUCUGAUUCUGUCAUGCUGCAAAAUCGUGUGAUAGAGGGAUAGCUAAUAAAUUAUUUGACAGGAAGUAUAGAAAAAAAAGCCUUUGUAAUUCACAGUUCUGACAUAAUGAAAAGCUUAUAAUUCACUAGUGUGACCUCACAGCUGUGAAUUACAAGUUUCACUUGACUUGUUCACAAUUUGUCUUUGAAUUUAUACUAUGAAAAGUGGGAACCAUAUUGUCAAACUGUCACUCCAUAUUGAUAUAUUACUGCUGAAGAUUAAGAAACAUUUUGUCAAAGAGCAGGAACAUAAAAAUACUCUGAAAGAAGAUGAAAUCUGAUACAAAUGUGAGGGAGAGUAUGAAGAAAUAAAUGCUGCUUGCUGGAGCUUAGAUACAAGGCAGAGAUGUGCACUCGCUGGAGGGGUGUAAUUGGAAACUAGUCCCUACCCCCCUCACUGAGCCAUUUUACUUAGGACUGGAGAACAGAAUGGACAGGGAGCCUCCAGCCAGUCACAGCCUGCAACAGCCCAUCCCAGAUCUUGUAAACUACUUAGUGCUCUGAUUUGCUAAAUUCUUGAGUCAUUAUUACCUCUGUGAGUGGCUGGAACUCACAACACAAUAAGAAUGCUCUUGGGCAGAGGCUCAGAGUAGAGUUUUCAGGGUUAAAGAAUGUGGGGUUCUAUGGACUGUGUGGUUCCACUCUUACUGAGUGUGAAGGAGACUGCCUGUUUACUAUCCAUUCUCCUCUUUUCCUAGUGGAUGCACAGUUUGCCUCAGUGGUCAUGUGCAUUUCCCAGCCUCCUUUGCAAAGGAGCACCAUGUAAAUAAGUUCUGACUAAUGAGAUAUGAGCAGAAGUUGUUUGGAUAGGACUUCUACAUAAGAUCCUUAAAACAGUGAGAAAACCCCAAUUAGCAGUUUCUUUUUUGG